rnacentral:rRNA from 1 species
GACAGAGGGUGCAAACGUUGUUCGGAUUUACUGGGCGUAAAGGGCGCGUAGGCGGCCCUCUAAGUCAGACGUGAAAUCCCUCGGCUCAACCGGGGAACUGCGUCUGAUACUGGAUGGCUUGAAUCCGGGAGAGGGAUGCAGAAUUCCAGGUGUAGCGGUGAAAUGCGUAGAUAUCUGGAGGAACACCGAUGGCGAAGGCAGGUCUCUGGGCCACUACUGACGCUGAGAAGCGAAAGCAUGGGGAGCGAACAGG